AGGUUGUGAGAAGGUAAAUGAGCGAGUCCGGAGCUCACCUCCCUGGGUUUGGAUCCCACUGUUACCACUUCCUUUGAGACCAAAGGACAACAACUUCACUUUUGGUGCCACAGCUUCCUCAAGUGUGUAGUAGAAACCUAGCCAGCAUGAGAUGUGCAUCAACCAGGCCUGCACCCUUGUCUACAGGUCGCACCAAUUUACCCUGGAGAGGUUCUUCGGAGUCUUAAUUGAGAAGCACAAAAGAUUGGAAGAUCUUUAAGUGAGUAGCCCUGAAUAAUUUCCCUUAGCAGAUCGCUCUUCGGAAUUUCAUUUUCAACAUGAAUGGUCACACUUCAAGCAAUGAAUGAGACGCAUUGUUCAGGGGGAAGUGACGCACUCAUCUCUGCAGAGCUGCUCAAGGGUCCCAGAGACACUUAAGAGUGCGUCAGCGUUUUCAUUAGAAACCCAUCAGCAGGGAAAGUGCCCGGAGGCUGCCUCUGAAAUUGAUUUGCUGAGUCAUUGCUAAGAAGAGGAAGAAGCAUAAUGGGACCCACAAAAAAACGUCACAAGUGUAAACACCAACCUCUUCCAGAAUGCCUCCUCUGGCAAGAUUGACUCUUAUGCUGACCUAAUUUUGACCCCGAGUAUGUUCCUUAUUGGAGUUUUGUUUUCCUGCUUAUGAAACUUUCUUAUUAUCAGUUUACAUCAAUACGCUUUUACUUCUCUUACUGGGUCAUACUUGUUCUCAGCAACUGGAUAAAACACUAGGGUAGAGAGAAGGUCUUAUUGAUCAUGUAGCUCCUCAUAUAUUAAUCUGACUGCUACAAACCACAGGCUUUGAAAUAGAGUAAUUGAAUGUGAGAGGUAACCAAUAAUCUAAGAUUUAAUCAUAAUUUUAAGGAUAAUGAAAAUUUUGUGGCACUGAUUUGCUCACAGAUUAAAGGGUUGGAUGGGACAGACAACAGUUCGACAGUCUGCUUUUUGAUUCUUUUCUUUUUCUAGAAUGUAUAUAUGAUGGAGGAUAAUAGGUAUGGAACAUACACACAUCCAUGAAUUAAUGCUGCUUGGCCAUGGGAUGUUAUUUGCUGUCGAUGUCUGAAACCAGUUCAUACUUCAUGAUUAGUCAAAGACUAGCUUAUAAAUUCUGCCUUAGAGGAAGAU